rnacentral:rRNA from 1 species
UACGGAGGGGGCUAGCGUUGUUCGGAAUUACUGGGCGUAAAGCGCACGUAGGCGGCUUUGUAAGUCAGAGGUGAAAGCCUGGAGCUCAACUCCAGAACUGCCUUUGAGACUGCAUCGCUUGAAUCCAGGAGAGGUGAGUGGAAUUCCAAGUGUAGAGGUGAAAUUCGUAGAUAUUCGGAAGAACACCAGUGGCGAAGGCGGCUCACUGGACUGGUAUUGACGCUGAGGUGCCGAAAGCGUGGGGAGCAAACAGGAUUA